AAAUUUCUGACCGCCCACAGAGGGUUCACCCCCGUCGAAAGGCAAUUCGUAAAGCUGCUACAUGAUUGUAACGUCAGUCCAUCGAGAAUGGUGCAGGUACUAUCUCUCAUCCACAGCAAAAAGGGGACUCUGAGUAGCAUGCCGUACAUACCAGCUAACGUCACAAACCUACGGGCAAGGUACCGUAGAGAGAGCAAGUUGGCAGACAUAGAGGCCACAAUUGCCUACUUCGAUGAGAAAGCCAAAGAAGAUGCAGAUUUCUUCUACAUGAUAAGGUUGGACGAUGAGGACCGUGUCAGGAACAUGUAUUGGGUAGAUGGUCCUGCAAGGAGAGCCUACAAACAUUUC
rnacentral:rRNA from 1 species